GAUUCUGUUCUUACUUUGCCAAUUGGACUUAUGUUUUAAUUGAUAAUUCAAGUGGGACAGGGGAAGUGUCCUUUUAAAACUCAAGCAAACUGUUUUUGUCUUGUAUCCUGCCAGAGGAAACAAUG